CCGGGGUUAGAAAUAUCUCUUGACCAAGACAAAUGGGGGCAAAAAUAUCAGAGAAGUUUCUUCCCUCUGUCCCUUGAACCCCCGUCAACACGGCAAAAGUACAUAUUAUCCCUCCGAUCCUAUUCAAUUCUACUCCUCUCUUUCCCUUCUGGGUCUUCCCAAAACCCCAAUUUCAACUUCUUGGGUCCUCCUCAAAACCCCCACAAUCCUACGGCCAUGGUGAGAAAAUCGAAGGAGAAGGAGAAGACCGGAGAUGGGUCCGGCUCCGCCGAGGGAUCGGUGCCUCCGUUUCUGAGAAAAUGUUACGAGAUGGUCGACGACGAAGAAACGGACUCUAUAAUCUCGUGGAGUGAGAGCAAUGACAGCUUUGUGAUUAGGGACGUGACCCAGUUCUCGGUUUUGAUGCUCCCCAAGAAUUUCAAGCACAGCAACUUUUCUAGCUUCAUGAGGCAGCUCAAUAUCUACGGCUUUAGAAAAAUAGAUCCGGAUCAUUAUGUAUUUGCAAAUGAAGGAUUUAUUCGAGGUCAAAAGCAUUUGUUGAAGAAUAUUUUCAGAAGGAAAUAUCCGCAGGGCACUGAUCAGAGUAAAACAUUGCAGCAGAAAGACAAUCAGAGAGACGAUCCUGAUGAACCUUCUGAAGACAUUGAAAGUGGUCUGUGGAGGGAAGUUGAGAACCUGAAGAUUGAUAAGAUCUCUCUAAAGCAAGAGUUGGUGAAGCUUAGGCAGCACCAGGAAAUAUCAGAAAAUAACUUGCUCCUCCUCAGAGAUCGCCUUCAUGGAAUGGAGAAGGAUCAGCAACAGAUGCUCUCAUUUCUGGUGAUGGCAAUGCAAAAUCCUGGGUUUUUAGUUCAGCUGGUUCAGUCAAAAGAACAUAGCUGGCGCUUCGCUGAAGCUGGAAAUAUGCUAGAAGAAGUAGAUGAUGGUAGACCAAUGGCUGCUGAUGGUGCCAUAGUAAGGUACCAACCUCUUAUGGAUGAAGCACCAGAGCCUGUCUUCACACCACAUUCGGGUUCGGAGAUUCAACCAGAAAUAGAUUCUUUUGUGAAUUCUGAUGGUGUAAUAGUAAGGUACCAACCUGUAGAUGAAGCGCCAGAUCCUGUAUUCACACCGAAUUUUGUCUCAGAGAAACAACCAGAAUUUGAUUCCUAUCCCGAUGGAGUGGGAGAUUCUUUCAUGAAUUCUGAUGGUGCAAUAGUAAGGUACCGAUCGCCUAUGGACGCAGCACCAAAGCCUAUACUCACACAGAGUUCAGGCUCAGGAAAACAACCAGAGUUUGAUUCUUACCCUGAUGGGAUGAAAGAUUUUUUUGUGAAUUCUGAUUUAGUGAAAAUGCUAAUGGAUGAUAAGUUGAGCCCUCGGGAAAAUCAUGCGCCAUUUAUCCUGCCAGAUGCUGAUGUUGAUGAUAAUGCAUGGGAGAAGCUUCUUUUAACUAGUUAUUUGUUAGAAAAUACUGAAGGUGCAAAGGAAGAAAGAAAAGAGCCCGAGGAUUCUAGAAUGGAGGUUGAAUCAACAGCAGCUGAGUUGGACGAAUCCAAAAAUUUUGAUUCUUUAAUAGAACAAAUGAACAAAUCAGUUCAUGGAUCUAAUAUGGAGAACUCUCGGAAUUUGGAAUUCAUUGGUGAACAUCUGGGUCUCAUGGCUUCCGAGCCCAACAAGAAACAAGAAACACAGUUGGGAAAGUAACAGGAUUUUAUAUCGGUUCUUGUGAUAGCUUAUAAUGGGAUAAAUGUACAUCUUUCUUACACAAGUAACAAAUAUUUUGAUGGUUACAAUCUUUGGGGAGACCAACAUGUUUAAAGUUUUGGUGUUUCUAUAUGUAAAUUCAAAUGUUACUAGAAGCAGAAUAUAUGUUGUCUGUGCCAAAUGUAGUGAGCUUCCUUUUUCCUAAUCUCACUUGGUAUACUUUUUCAACUACUGUUUGCAUUGUAACUUCAUGGGGACGCCAAAUGAUGUUCCUAUUAACGAUUGAUGUAGAUAUGAGAUUGUGCACCGUCUGAGGCCUUGUAUAAAAUGGCUACUCAGAGCGUAAGUUUCUUACUUUGUUCUUUUGCUAAAUUCAAACCAUGAGUUGAGAUUUGAGAAGUA